rnacentral:rRNA from 1 species
GAUGAACGCUGGCGGCGUGCCUAAUACAUGCAAGUCGAGCGAACGGACGAGAAGCUUGCUUCUCUGAUGUUAGCGGCGGACGGGUGAGUAACACGUGGAUAACCUACCUAUAAGACUGGGAUAACUUCGGGAAACCGGAGCUAAUACCGGAUAAUAUUUUGAACCGCAUGGUUCAAAAGUGAAAGACGGUCUUGCUGUCACUUAUAGAUGGUUCCGCGCUGCAUUAGCUAGUUGGUAAGGUAACGGCUUACCAAGGCAACGAUGCAUAGCCGACCUGAGCGGGUGAUCGCCCACACGGGAACUGAGACACGGUCCAGACUCCUACGGGAGGCAGCAGUAGGGAAUCUUCCGCAAUGGGCGAAAGCCUGACGGAGCAACGCCGCGUGAGUGAUGAAGGUCUUCGGAUCGUAAAACUCUGUUAUUAGGGAAGAACAUAUGUGUAAGUAACUGUGCACAUCUUGACGGUACCUAAUCAGAAAGCCACGGCUAACUACGUG